rnacentral:rRNA from 1 species
UACGGAGGGUGCGAGCGUUGUCCGGAAGCAUUGGGCGUAAAGGGCGCGUAGGUGGCGGGACAAGCGUGCGGUGAAAGCCUGGGGCUCAACCCCGGGUCGGCCGUGCGAACUGUUUUGCUUGAGCACUGUAGAGGCAGGCGGAAUUCCGGGUGUAGCGGUGGAAUGCGUAGAGAUCCGGAAGAACACCGGUGGCGAAGGCGGCCUGCUGGGCAGUAGCUGACACUGAGGCGCGACAGCGUGGGGAGCAAACAGG